CCUACGGGAGGCAGCAGUGAGGAAUCUUGGUCAAUGGCCGUAAGGCUGAACCAGCCACGCCGCGUGAAGGAAGAAGGAUCUAUGGUUUGUAAACUUCUUUUAUAGGGGAAUAAAGGUAUCCACGUGUGGAUAUUUGCAUGUACCCUAUGAAUAAGCAUCGGCUAACUCCGUGCCAGCAGCCGCGGUAAGACGGAGGAUGCGAGCGUUAUCCGGAUUUAUUGGGUUUAAAGGGUGCGUAGGUUGUUUUUUAAGUCAGCUGUGAAAGUUUGUGGCUCAACCAUAAAAUUGCCGUUGAAACUGGAAGACUUGAGUGUGGUUGAGGGAGGCGGAAUGCGUGGUGUAGCGGUGAAAUGCAUAGAUAUCACGCAGAACACCGAUGGCGAAGGCAGCUUACUGGGCCAUAACUGACGCUGAGGCACGAAAGCGUGGGGAUCAAACAGGAUUAGAUACCCUUGUAGUC
rnacentral:rRNA from 1 species